rnacentral:rRNA from 1 species
AUGGUUAAGCUACUAAGAGCACACGGAGGAUGCCUAGGCGCUAGGAGCCGAAGAAGGACGUGGCGAACAACGAAACUGCCUCGGGGAGCUGUAAGCAAGCAUCGAUCCGGGGAUGUCCGAAUGGGGAAACCCGGCUGGGGUAAUACCUAGUCACUCAUCACUGAAUCCAUAGGUGGUGAAGAGGCAUACCAGGGGAACUGAAACAUCUAAGUACCCUGAGGAAGAGAAAACAAUAGUGAUUCCGUCAGUAGCGGCGAGCGAACGCGGAUUAGCCUAAACCGAAGAGCUUGCUCUUCGGGGUUGUGGGACGUCUCACAUGGAGUUACAAAGGCAGAGGUUAGACGAACAGGUCUGGAAAGGCCGGCCAGAGAAGGUAAAAGCCCUGUAAUCGAAAGUCUCUG